AGUCCAGUAACUCCUAUCCCUACCGCCCCGUAGUGCCGCCUGGGAUAACCUUAGGGAAGAUCGGGUAAUCAACCCCGGUGGGAUCAUGGUCGUAUGCUGACAGGGAAGG
rnacentral:ribozyme from 1 species